rnacentral:rRNA from 1 species
UAGAGUUUGAUCCUGGCUCAGAGCGAACGCUGGCGGCAGGCUUAACACAUGCAAGUCGAGCGCCGUAGCAAUACGGAGCGGCAGACGGGUGAGUAACACGUGGGAACGUACCUUUUGGUUCGGAACAACCCAGGGAAACUUGGGCUAAUACCGGAUAAGCCCUUACGGGGAAAGAUUUAUCGCCGAAAGAUCGGCCCGCGUCUGAUUAGCUAGUUGGUGAGGUAACGGCUCACCAAGGCGACGAUCAGUAGCUGGUCUGAGAGGAUGAUCAGCCACACUGGGACUGAGACACGGCCCAGACUCCUACGGGAGGCAGCAGUGGGGAAUAUUGGACAAUGGGCGCAAGCCUGAUCCAGCCAUGCCGCGUGAGUGAUGAAGGCCCUAGGGUUGUAAAGCUCUUUUGUGCGGGAAGAUAAUGACUGUACCGCAAGAAUAAGCCCCGGCUAACUUCGUGCCAGCAGCCCCGGUCAA